GGAGAGGUGUCCGAGUGGUUUAAGGAGCACGCUUGGAAAGCGUGUGUAGGGUAACCCUUACCGCGGGUUCGAAUCCCGCCCUCUCCGCCA
rnacentral:tRNA from 1 species